rnacentral:rRNA from 1 species
UACGGGGGGGGCAAGCGUUGUUCGGAAUUACUGGGCGUAAAGGGCUCGUAGGUGGCCAACUAAGUCAGACGUGAAAUCCCUCAGCUUAACUGGGGAACUGCGUCUGAUACUGGAUGGCUUGAGUUUGGGAGAGGGAUGCGGAAUUCCAGGUGUAGCGGUGAAAUGCGUAGAUAUCUGGAGGAACACCGGUGGCGAAGGCGGUAUCCUGGACCAACACUGACACUGAGGAGCGAAAGCCAGGGGAGCAAACGGG